rnacentral:rRNA from 1 species
GGAAGAUAAUGACAUUACCUUACCUAUUAGUGUGUCCAAACUGGUGCCAGAAGACUCGGUAAGGCCAGAGACGCAAACGUUAGUCGUCCUAAUCAGGCGUAAAGGGUGUGUAGGCAGCUUCAAAAUUUUAUUUUAUUACUUAAAUUUUUUUUACUAUUAUAAAGUUUAACCUUAAGUAAUAUAGGCUAAUUAAGAAAUUCAGUCUGAGAUUUUUAUAACAAUAUAAAAUUCUAUUCUUAAAAAUAACAGAAAUUUGGUUUGUCUUUUUUAAAGAAAAAAUUAAAAAAUAAAUAAAAAAAAAGAAGAAAAAAAGAAUAAAUUUUUAAUAAAAAUCAAAUAAAAAAGUAUAUUAAUUAUUAUAUAUGUAAUUUUUAUUUGAAAUUUAUUAGGUUAGAAAAAAUUAAUUAAAGUAAAUAUAAAAUGAAUAAAGCUAGAAUCAAAUAGAGGAUAUUUAAAUAAUACUUAGAGUAGGGGUGAUAUCCAUAGAUACUAAGUAGAAUAUUAACGGUGAAAGCUUUUUAUCUACUAAUGAUUGACGCUGAGAAACGAAGGUGAGGAUAGGAAAUAGGAUUAGAUACCCAGAUACCCCUCUCUGUCAACGAUGAAUGGUGGGUGCUAGUUAUAAUCAUAAUUGGUGGCUAUGGUAACACGAUAACCAUUCCGCCAUGUGAGUACGACUGCA